rnacentral:rRNA from 1 species
GACGAACGCUGGCGGCGUGCUUAACACAUGCCAGUCGAACGGAAAGGCCCUGCUUUUGUUGGGUGCUCGAGUGGCGAACGGGUGAGUAACACGUGAGUAACCUGCCCUUGACUUUGGGAUAUCUUCAGGAAACUGGGGCUCAUACCGGGUAGGAGCUCCUGCUGCAUGUUGUUCGUUGGAAAGUUUCGGCGGUUGGGGCUGGACUCGCAGCUUAUCAGCUUGUUUGUGUGGUAGUGGCUUACCAAGGCUUUGACGGGUAGCCGGCCUGAGAGGGUGACCGGCGACAUGGGGACUGAGAUACGGCCCAGACUCGUACGGGAGGCAGUAGGGGGGAAUAUGGCACAAUGGGGGGAAGCCUGAGGCGGAAACGCUGCGAGCGGGAUGACGGCCUUCGGGGUGUAAACAGAUGUCGCCGGUGACGAAGAGGGAGUGACGGUAAUGGGUAAAGAAGCAACGGCUAACUACGUG